GACGAACGCUGGCGGCGCGCCUAACACAUGCAAGUCGAACGGAACUUAAGAGAGCUUGCUUUCUUAAGUUUAGUGGCGAACGGGUGAGUAACGCGUGAGUAACCUGCCCUGAAGUGGGGGACAACAGUUGGAAACGACUGCUAAUACCGCAUAAGCCCCACGAGCGACCGCAUGGUGCAGGAACGGGGAAAAGGAUUAUUCCGCUUUCAGGAUGGACUCGCGUCCAAUUAGCUAGUUGGUGAGGUAACGGCCCACCAAGGCGACGAUUGGUAGCCGGACUGAGAGGUUGAACGGCCACAUUGGGGCUGAGACACGGCCCAG
rnacentral:rRNA from 1 species